rnacentral:rRNA from 1 species
GACGAACGCUGGCGGCGUGCUUAACACAUGCAAGUCGAACGGAAAGGCCCUGCUUUUGUGGGGUGCUCGAGUGGCGAACGGGUGAGUAACACGUGAGUAACCUGCCCUUGACUUUGGGAUAACUUCAGGAAACUGGGGCUAAUACCGGAUAGGAGCUCCUGCUGCAUGGUGGGGGUUGGAAAGUUUCGGCGGUUGGGGAUGGACUCGCGGCUUAUCAGCUUGUUGGUGGGGUAGUGGCUUACCAAGGCUUUGACGGGUAGCCGGCCUGAGAGGGUGACCGGCCACAUUGGGACUGAGAUACGGCCCAGACUCCUACGGGAGGCAGCAGUGGGGAAUAUUGCACAAUGGGCGGAAGCCUGAUGCAGCAACGCCGCGUGCGGGAGGACGGCCUUCGGGUGGUAAACCGCUUUCGCCUGUGACGAAGCGUGAGUGACGGUAAUGGGUAAAGAAGCACCGGCGAACUACGU